rnacentral:rRNA from 1 species
CUACGGGGCGCUGCAGUGGGGAAUAUUGCACAAUGGAGGAAACUCUGAUGCAGCAACGCCGCGUGGAGGAUGACACUUUUCGGAGCGUAACUCCUUUUAUAUAGGAAGAAGAUGACGGUACUAUAUGAAUAAGCGCCGGCUAACUCCGUGCCAGCAGCCGCGGUAAUACGGAGGGCGCAAGCGUUACUCGGAAUCACUGGGCGUAAAGAGCGUGUAGGCGGAUUAAAAAGUCAGAAGUGAAAUCCUAUAGCUUAACUAUAGAACUGCUUCUGAAACUCUUAAUCUAGAAUAUGGGAGAGGUAGAUGGAAUUUCUGGUGUAGGGGUAAAAUCCGUAGAGAUCAGAAGGAAUACCGAAUGCGAAGGCGAUCUACUAGAACAUUAUUGACGCUGAGACGCGAAAGCGUGGGGAGCAAACAGGAUUAGAUACCCGUGUAGUC